rnacentral:rRNA from 2 species
GGUUUACCUGUGUGACUGCGUACCUUUUGUAUAAUGGGUCAGCGACUUAUAUUCUGUAGCAAGGUUAACCGAAUAGGGGAGCCGGAGGGAAACCGAGUCUUAAUUGGGCGUUAAGUUGCAGGGUAUAGACCCGAAACCCGGUGAUCUAGCCAUGGGCAGGUUGAAGGUUGGGUAACACUAACUGGAGGACCGAACCGACUAAUGUUGAAAAAUUAGCGGAUGACCUGUGGCUGGGGGUGAAAGGCCAAUCAAACCGGGAGAUAGCUGGUUCUCCCCGAAAGCUAUUUAGGUAGCGCCUCGUGAAUUCAUCUCCGGGGGUAGAGCACUGUUUCGGCUAGGGGGCCAUCCCGGCUUACCAACCCGAUGCAAACUGCGAAUACCGGAGAAUGUUAUCACGGGAGACACACGGCGGGUGCUAACGUCCGUCGUGAAGAGGGAAACAACCCAGACCGCCAGCUAAGGUCCCAAAGUCAUGGUUAAGUGGGAAACGAUGUGGGAAGGCCCAGACAGCCAGGAUGUUGGCUUAGAAGCAGCCAUCAUUUAAAGAAAGCGUAAUAGCUCACUGGUCGAGUCGGCCUGCGCGGAAGAUGUAACGGGGCUAAACCAUGCACCGAAGCUGCGGCAGCGACACUGUGUGUUGUUGGGUAGGGGAGCGUUCUGUAAGCCUGCGAAGGUGGCCUGUGAGGGUUGCUGGAGGUAUCAGAAGUGCGAAUGCUGACAUAAGUAACGAUAAAGCGGGUGAAAAGCCCGCUCGCCGGAAGACCAAGGGUUCCUGUCCAACGUUAAUCGGGGCAGGGUGAGUCGACCCCUAAGGCGAGGCCGAAAGGCGUAGUCGAUGGGAAACGGGUUAAUAUUCCCGUACUUGGUGUUACUGCGAAGGGGGGACGGAGAAGGCUAUGUUGGCCGGGCGACGGUUGUCCCGGUUUAAGCGUGUAGGUGUGUGUUCCAGGUAAAUCCGGUUCACUUUAACACUGAGGCGUGACGACGAGGCACUACGGUGCUGAAGCAACAAAUGCCCUGCUUCCAGGAAAAGCCUCUAAGCAUCAGGUAACAUCAAAUCGUACCCCAAACCGACACAGGUGGUCAGGUAGAGAAUACCAAGGCGCUUGAGAGAACUCGGGUGAAGGAACUAGGCAAAAUGGUGCCGUAACUUCGGGAGAAGGCACGCUGACACGUAGGUGAAGUGAUUUACUCAUGGAGCUGAAGUCAGUCGAAGAUACCAGCUGGCUGCAACUGUUUAUUAAAAACACAGCACUGUGCAAACACGAAAGUGGACGUAUACGGUGUGACGCCUGCCCGGUGCCGGAAGGUUAAUUGAUGGGGUCAGCGCAAGCGAAGCUCCUGAUCGAAGCCCCGGUAAACGGCGGCCGUAACUAUAACGGUCCUAAGGUAGCGAAAUUCCUUGUCGGGUAAGUUCCGACCUGCACGAAUGGCGUAAUGAUGGCCAGGCUGUCUCCACCCGAGACUCAGUGAAAUUGAACUCGCUGUGAAGAUGCAGUGUACCCGCGGCAAGACGGAAAGACCCCGUGAACCUUUACUAUAGCUUGACACUGAACAUUGAGCCUUGAUGUGUAGGAUAGGUGGGAGGCUUUGAAGUGUGGACGCCAGUCUGCAUGGAGCCGACCUUGAAAUACCACCCUUUAAUGUUUGAUGUUCUAACGUGGACCCGUUACCCGGGUUGCGGACAGUGUCUGGUGGGUAGUUUGACUGGGGCGGUCUCCUCCUAAAGAGUAACGGAGGAGCACGAAGGUUGGCUAAUCCUGGUCGGACAUCAGGAGGUUAGUGCAAUGGCAUAAGCCAGCUUGACUGCGAGCGUGACGGCGCGAGCAGGUGCGAAAGCAGGUCAUAGUGAUCCGGUGGUUCUGAAUGGAAGGGCCAUCGCUCAACGGAUAAAAGGUACUCCGGGGAUAACAGGCUGAUACCGCCCAAGAGUUCAUAUCGACGGCGGUGUUUGGCACCUCGAUGUCGGCUCAUCACAUCCUGGGGCUGAAGUAGGUCCCAAGGGUAUGGCUGUUCGCCAUUUAAAGUGGUACGCGAGCUGGGUUUAGAACGUCGUGAGACAGUUCGGUCCCUAUCUGCCGUGGGCGCUGGAGAACUGAGGGGGGCUGCUCCUAGUACGAGAGGACCGGAGUGGACGCAUCACUGGUGUUCGGGUUGUCAUGCCAAUGGCACUGCCCGGUAGCUAAAUGCGGAAGAGAUAAGUGCUGAAAGCAUCUAAGCACGAAACUUGCCCCGAG